UACGUAGGGGGCAAGCGUUAUCCGGGUUUACUGGGUGUAAAGGGAGCGUAGACGGCUGUGCAAGCCAGAUGUGAAAGCCCGGGGCUCAACCCCGGGACUGCAUUUGGAACUGUGUAGCUGGAGUGUCGGAGAGGCAGGCGGAAUUCCUAGUGUAGCGGUGAAAUGCGUAGAUAUUAGGAGGAACACCAGUGGCGAAGGCGGCCUGCUGGACGAUGACUGACGUUGAGGCUCGAAAGCGUGGGGAGCAAACAGG
rnacentral:rRNA from 1 species